UCGUUAUUAUAUAUAUAUUUGGUAGACUAUGAAUACAUGGAUAUAUGUAUUAAACGACAUAUAACAACGCUCCAACGCUCCAAAGCUUCAAAGUUCAAAAUUCAAAAUUUUUAGACAUCAUACACCCUAGGGUUCAAUGUUCCCAGAGUCUUUUUCCUUAUAUGUGUCAAUCACAUUGGUUGCUACCUCUUCGCUGAACACAUCUACCUGGGUAGAAGCAAACUUCCGUGCACUAACCCCACGCUCAAAUAGGACGUCGAGCUCGGCAAAGGAUCGUCCCU
rnacentral:snoRNA from 1 species